rnacentral:rRNA from 1 species
AUUGAACGCUGGCGGCAUGCCUUACACAUGCAAGUCGAACGGUAACGCGGGGCAACCUGGCGACGAGUGGCGAACGGGUGAGUAAUGCAUCGGAACGUGCCCAGUAGAGGGGGAUAGCCCGGCGAAAGCCGGAUUAAUACCGCAUACGACCUUCGGGUGAAAGGGGGGGAUCGCAAGACCUCUCGCUAUUGGAGCGGCCGGUGUCAGAGUAGGGAGUUGGUGGGGUAAAGGCCUACCAAGCCGACGAUCUGUAGCUGGUCUGAGAGGACGACCAGCCACACUGGGACUGAGACACGGCCCAGACUCCGACGGGAGGCAGCAGUGGGGAAUUUUGGACGAUGGGCGCAAGCCUGAUCCAGCCAUGCCGCGUGCGGGAAGAAGGCCUUCGGGUUGUAAACCGCUUUUGUCAGGGAAGAAACGCUUCGAGCUAAUACCUCGGAGUAAUGACGGUACCUGAAGAAUAAGCACCGGCUAACUACGUGCCAGCCGCCGCGGUAA